rnacentral:rRNA from 1 species
AGAGUUUGAUCCUGGCUCAGAACGAACGCUGGCGGCAGGCUUAACACAUGCAAGUUGAACGGGAUUUGUAUGGUGCUUGCACCAUGUAAUGAGAGUAGCGCACUGGUGAGUAACACGUGGGAACAUACCUUGAAGUGGGGGACAACAGUUGGAAACGACUGCUAAUACCGCAUAAUCCCUGAGGGGGAAAGAUUUAUCGCUUUAAGAUUGGCCCGCGGAAGAUUAGGUAGUUGGUGGGGUAAAGGCCUACCAAGCCGACGAUCUAUAGCUGGUCUGAGAGGACGAACAGCCACAUUGGAACUGAGACACGGUCCAGACUCCUACGGGAGGCAGCAGUGAGGAAUAUUGGGCAAUGGAGGAAACUCUGACCCAGCCAUGCCGCGUGAGUGAAGAAGGUUUUCGAAUUGUAAAGCUCUUUCGGAUGGGACGAUGAUGACGGUACCAUCUAAAGAAGCCCCGGCAAACUUCGUGCCAGCAGCCGCGGUAAUACGAAGGGGGCAAGCGUUGUUCGGAAUUACUGGGCGUAAAGGGUGUGUAGGCGGAUUUGUAAGAUAGUGGUGAAAUACCUGAGCUCAACUUAGGAAUUGCCAUUAUAACUAUAGAUCUGGAGUGACAGAGAGGAUAUUGGAAUACCCAGUGUAGAGGUGAAAUUCGUAGAUAUUGGGUAGAACACCAGUGGCGAAGGCGAGUAUCUGGCUGUCAACUGACGCUGAGGCACGAAAGCAUGGGGAUCAAACAGGAUUAGAUACCCUGGUAGUCCAUGCUGUAAACGAUGAAUGCUAGUUGUCGGCAAAAGCCGGUGACGCAGUUAACGCGAUAAGCAUUCCGCCUGGGGAGUACGGUCGCAAGAUUAAAACUCAAAGGAAUUGACGGGGACCCGCACAAGCGGUGGAGCAUGUGGUUUAAUUCGA